rnacentral:lncRNA from 10 species
CCCUGGAGACCGAAGCCCACAAGAGAUGCCAGUAUGGGGACAAGAUGUCUGGAACUGUAGCAGCUACUUUGUAACCAGGAGACAUCAGGAAUGAAGAUAACAAGUCAAUACAUCAAGGAUGGCAGAGCAGAAGAACAGAGGGCAUUUUUCAGCAGCAGAAACAGUACCAGUGAUUGCCUUGUCUGGCUGGCUUGUCAUUUGAGGAAAGACAACUAUUUGUUUAAGCAAUCAGCCCAGUUUUCUGUUACUGGCAACUAAAAGCAAUUCUAAAUGACAUUGAUAUGGAAGGGAGGCAGGGAAAUGCUGGGAGGAGAAGGGCGGGUCCCUGGCGAGGGUUCCACCCCCAGGCCUGUGCCCAGGGAAUGCACUCCUGCCUUCGCAUCCAAAUGUUGCAUUUCCCAAGACCACCCUGGCAUGCCAUCCUGUGUCUAUAAAAACCCCGAGACCCUAGCAGGCAGACACACAAGCGGCUGGACGUCCAGAGGACGUCCAGGGGAGCACACCGGCGGAAGGGCACACCAACAGACACAGGCAGCAGACACAGGCAGGUCGGCAGGCCUUCAACGGGCAGAACUAUGCAGAGUUUGGCCACGGCGGCUGGAGGAGAGCCUGAGCCACUGAGCGCCCAACUCCAGGGGAAAACCAUCUCCCUCUGGCUCCCCCAUCUGCUGAGAGCUACUCCCACUCAAUAAAACCUUGCACUCAUUCUCCAAGCCCAGUGUGAUCUGAUUCUUCUGGUACACCAAGGCAAGAAACCCUGGGAUACAGAAAGCCCUCCGUCCACGUGAUAAGGAAGGGGGUCUAAUUGAGCUGACUAACACAAGCCACCUAAUGGCCAGCUAAGCUAUAAGAACACCCUGUAACACACGCCCACUGGGGCUUCAGUAGGUGUAAACAUUCACCCCUAGACACUGCCAUGGGGUCAGAGCCCCACAGCCUGCCCGUCUGCAUGCUCCCCUAGAGGUUGGAGCAGCAGGGCACUGAAGAAGCGAAUCACUCCCCCGCUGCACGCCUUGCGAGGGGGACAAGGGAAGUUAUCCCCUUUCAAUAUGUUACUCCUAGCCUUAAUUUCUGGAACUUUAUUUUUCAAUACUUUAAAAUGCAG